UACGUAGGUGGCGAGCGUUAUCCGGAAUGAUUGGGCGUAAAGGGUGCGUAGGCGGCCUGCUAAGUCUGGAGUGAAAGGUACCGGCUCAACCGGUACAGGCUCUGGAAACUGGCGGGCUAGAGAGCAGGAGAGGGCGGUGGAACUCCAUGUGUAGCGGUGAAAUGCAUAGAUAUAACUUAGAACACCGAUAGCGAAGGCAGCUUACCAGACUGAGUCUGACGCUGAUGCACGAGAGCAUGGGUAGCGAACAGG
rnacentral:rRNA from 1 species